rnacentral:tRNA from 1 species
UGCAUCGGCCGGGAAUCGAACCCGGGGCGCCCGCGUGGCAGGCGAACAUUCACCACUGAACCAAAAGC